rnacentral:rRNA from 1 species
AAAAAGUUGGUGGUGAAAUCCCAGAGCUUAACUCUGGAACUGCCAUCAAAACUUUUCAGCUAGAGUUUGAUAGAGGAAAGCAGAAUUUCUAGUGUAGAGGUGAAAUUCGUAGAUAUUAGAAAGAAUACCAAUUGCGAAGGCAGCUUUCUGGAUCAUUACUGACACUGAGGAACGAAAGCAUGGGUAGCGAAGAGGAUUAGAUACCCUCGUAGUCCAUGCCGUAAACGAUGUGUGUUAGACGUUGGAAAUUUAUUUUCAGUGUCGCAGCGAAAGCAAUAAACACACCGCCUGGGGAGUACGACCGCAAGGUUAAAACUCAAAUGAAUUGACGGGGACCCGCACAAGUAGUGGAGCAUGUGGUUUAAUUCGAAGAUACGCGCAGAACCUUACCAACACUUGACAUGUUCGUCGCGACUUUAAGAGAUUAAAGUUUUCGGUUCGGCCGGACGAAACACAGGUGCUGCAUGGCUGUCGUCAGCUCGUGUCGUGAGAUGUUGGGUUAAGUCCCGCAACGAGCGCAACCCUUACUUUUAGUUGCCAUCAUUAAGUUGGGCACUCUGAAAGAACUGCCAGUGAUAAGCUGGAGGAAGGUGGGGAUGACGUCAAGUCCUCAUGGCCCUUACGUGUUGGGCUACACACGUGCUACAAUGGUAUUU